rnacentral:lncRNA from 10 species
AUAGUUCAGUUCCUCAUAGUUCAGGCUGGAGCAAGUAAGAUUCCAGUUUUACCACUGAAUCUCUGAGCCUGUCUCCUCAUCUGUAAAAUGGGAACAGCAAUCCUAGCCCAGAGGGUUGUCAAAGUCACUGUGCUAUCGGGCCUGGCAGAAUGGGAGUGAGAGGGGCUCAGAGGGACUGUUACAGGACAUGAGGUGACGAUGGUGGGGUGGCAAGGCAGGAGCUGAUGGAGACUCACUGAGAAGUGGAGAAGCAAGAUUCAUCACAUACGGGACAUAAAGGGAGAUGGAGGGGCAGGGGGUAGUCCUGGUCUCGGCCUGGUGGGGAAGGGCUUCAAUGGGAGGAAGCCAGGGUGUGAAGUGACGGGGGAGGAUUGCUUGAGGCCAGCAGUUCGAGACCAGCCUGAUCAAUAUAGCAAGACCAGGACAGGCGCGGUGGCUCACGCCUGUAAUCCCAGCACUUUGGGAGGCCAAGGCAGGUGGAUCACGAGGUCAGGAGUUCAAGACCAGCCUGGCCAACAUAGUGAAACCCCGUCUCCACUAAAAUAAAUAAAUACAAAAAAUAUAUAUAGCAAGACCCCACCUCUAAAAAAAAAAAAAAAAAAAAAGGCUGGGC